AGCAAACGCUGGCGGCGUGCCUAAUACAUGCAAGUCGAACGGGGAAAGUAGCAAUACGAGUACUAGUGGCGCACGGGUGAGGAACACGUGGGUAAUCUGCCUUCGAGCGGGGGAUAACUAGUCGAAAGAUUAGCUAAUACCGCAUAAGACCACAAUGUCUGAGGACAAAGGGGUCAAAGUCGCAAGACACUUGAAGAUGAGCCCGCGUAAGAUUAGCUAGUUGGUGAGGUAAUGGCUCACCAAGGCGAUGAUCUUUAGCUGGUCUGAGAGGAUGAUCAGCCACACUGGAACUGAGACACGGUCCAGACUCCUACGGGAGGCAGCAGUGGGGAAUAUUGCGCAAUGGGGGAAACCCUGACGCAGCGACGCCGCGUGAGUGAUGAAGGCCUUCGGGUCGUAAAGCUCUAUUAUAUGGGAAUAAGGUCUGAACGUACCAUGUGAGAAAGGAUCGGCUAACUUCGUGCCAGCAGCCGCGGUAA
rnacentral:rRNA from 1 species